CCCAUUCAAUGCCUCAUGCACACAAGCAGACAAACAAUUUGGAAGCUGCUCAAUCAUACCUGGAGGUAAUUAUAUAUCAGGUGCUGAUGUGACGACAUGACUGAGAGACACCGGCAGAGGCUGGCAACCCAACACGGGACUUUGGAGAUUCCUGAAGGUGCCGGCGGGAGAGUGGUUAACCACGACCGCGUUCUGGGGAGCUGACGGACACAACGCAGUGAGAGCCGGCUGACAAUUUGGAGAGCAAUGAAGGGACCAGAAUACCUGGAGACGCACAGAACAAUCUGCGGGAGCACAGAGCUAGGGUACAAAGUAACUACAACAAAGCACUGGCACAGAAUGCAAUAUUCCCAGCCUAUUUAUAGGCAGCAAGGAACCAGAAUUGGCUGACACUCACCCAUCACGCUCAUUGGUGCUGUACUUGUACAGUAAUGUGAAUAAGGUGCUCUACUGUGUGACACAAAGUGAUCAAGGGCUGUCGUGUGACGUGACAUAAAUUAACUGCACUACUGUGACAUGACGUGAAUAAGAUAAAUUCAGGUGAGUGCUGCAUCAUCUGUCAUGAAAUCAAUUUAUACUGUAAUUAACAGUACUGAGAUGGUUAAGGAUGGGAGGGCCGCAUGUUGAUGUGUGUCAUAAUGUUUAUAAGGGCAAUGCUAAUGUGUGUCACAAUGUCUAUAAAGGUAGUGUUCUGUCUAAUACCCUGGACCUACUGUACUGUACUAUAACGAUACUGUAAGUGUAUGUCACAUUUAAAAAUGUGCCCCUUAAGUUUUGAAGACAGUACAGUACACUAUGCCCUCCUGAGUGAUUAGGUGCAGGGUACUAGAAUGAACAAUUCCAUUGAUUGUGAUGUCAUAAAGAUGAUGUCAAUGUUAAAUUUCAUUGGCUGUACAGUAUGCUGCCAUUAUACUGUAUAUAUAUUUUUACAGGGGAGCACGACGCCUGAGAAGGUGGGAAAGGCACCGCCAAGCUUUACACCACCUGCCCGCCUGCAGCCACCCCAGGCUGAUGAUGAGGAGCCAGGCCCCAGCGCAGCCAUACCACCGCCACCUGCCAGCCCGCACCCACCACAGCACAGGGCCAGGAGGAGGAGGAGGCACCACCAGGACCCAUCUCUUCUGUGGUAUUGUGUAACGAGAAUUCUGGUGUGACUUUCAUGACUUGGGAUCAUGGCGAUCGAGUUCCUUGUGCUGGAAUCCACACACCCCUGAAAAUGGAGGCGACAAUGGCUCGAAUUGGGUGAGAGACUGGUUCCAUGAUCCCGACAGACAGGAUCCUGAUCGUAAGGACGCCGGAUGAAUACCACGUACCCCACCCACCCAGGAGCCGGAACUGGCAAGCUCCGGAAGUGACCGCUUCAUAACUGAUACAGAGGCAAGGGAGGAGGAGGAGAUGGGGGAGCCUUCAGGCCAGCCUGAUAUCGGUUACGUGGAGCCGGAGGAGGAGGAAGAGGAGCCCCAGUGUACCAUGGCAUUCUGAAUGUCGGGAUCCUGACAGCCGGUUUUUUAAAUACAGUAAUUAAAAUUGACCGCGAGGAGGAGGAAGAGGAUAAGCCGUCUCCCCAAUUUAGCCCUACACUGCCCCAGGCCAUGGAGGAGGUGGAGGAGCAGCCUCUGGCCCCUACAACACCACUCCCAGCAAGCCCUACACUGGAACAGGCCACGGAGGAGGGGGGAGGAUGAUGAGGCGGCAUUUAGUGCUACAGACGACGAGCAGUGGCCAGAAUAUAUUUUUGAGCCAAUGAUAUAUGGGGACCCCAGACAGGGCCAAGAAAAAUGGGCUGGACACUUAUACUAGAGAACAGCUGCUGAUGACCCUCCAGGCCAUUCAAAUAUUGGUCCACAUGAUAGUGGACCAGUUUUUUUAUUUUUUGUUUAGAUCACUUUAAAAUUUAAAUUGUUUAUUUUUUUUGUAAAUUUGUUCAUUAAAAAUAUUUAUUGAA